rnacentral:rRNA from 1 species
AGUGAACGCUGGCGGUAGGCCUAACACAUGCAAGUCGAACGGCAGCACAGUAAGAGCUUGCUCUUACGGGUGGCGAGUGGCGGACGGGUGAGGAAUACAUCGGAAUCUACUUUUUCGUGAGGGAUAACGUAGGGAAACUUACGCUAAUACCGCAUACGACCUACGGGUGAAAGCAGGGGAUCUUCGGACCUUGCGCGAUUGAAUGAGCCGAUGUCGGAUUAGCUAGUUGGCGGGGUAAAGGCCCACCAAGGCGACGAUCCGUAGCUGGUCUGAGAGGAUGAUCAGCCACACUGGAACUGAGACACGGUCCAGACUCCUACGGGAGGCAGCAGUGGGGAAUAUUGGACAAUGGGCGAAAGCCUGAUCCAGCCAUACCGCGUGGGUGAAGAAGGCCUUCGGGUUGUAAAGCCCUUUUGUUGGGAAAGAAAAGCAGCAGGUUAAUACCCCGCUGUUCUGACGGUACCCAAAGAAUAAGCACCGGCUAACUUCGUG